rnacentral:rRNA from 1 species
GAUGAACGCUGGCGGCGUGCCUAAUACAUGCAAGUCGAGCGAACAGACGAGGAGCUUGCUCCUUUGACGUUAGCGGCGGACGGGUGAGUAACACGUGGAUAACCUACCUAUAAGACUGGGAUAACUUCGGGAAACCGGAGCUAAUACCGGAUAACAUGUUGAACCGCAUGGUUCAACAGUGAAAGACGGUCUUGCUGUCACUUAUAGAUGGAUCCGCGCCGCAUUAGCUAGUUGGUAAGGUAACGGCUUACCAAGGCAACGAUGCGUAGCCGACCUGAGAGGGUGAUCGGCCACACUGGAACUGAGACACGGUCCAGACUCCUACGGGAGGCAGCAGUGGGGAAUAUUCCGCAAUGGGCGAAAGCCUGACGGAGCAACGCCGCGUGAGUGAAGAAGGUCUUCGGAUCGUAAAACUCUGUUAUUAGGGAAGAACAAAUGUGUAAGUAACUAUGCACGUCUUGACGGUACCUAAUCAGAAAGCCACGGCUAACUACGUG